UACGAAGGGGGCUAGCGUUACUCGGAAUUACUGGGCGUAAAGGGCGCGUAGGCGGAUAGUUUAGUCAGAGGUGAAAGCCCAGGGCUCAACCUUGGAAUUGCCUUUGAUACUGGCUAUCUUGAGUUCGGGAGAGGUGAGUGGAAUGCCGAGUGUAGAGGUGAAAUUCGUAGAUAUUCGGCGGAACACCAGUGGCGAAGGCGACUCACUGGCCCGAUACUGACGCUGAGGCGCGAAAGCGUGGGGAGCAAACAGG
rnacentral:rRNA from 1 species